GCAUCGAUGAAGAACGCAGCAAACUGCGAUAAGUAAUGUGAAUUGCAGAAUUUAGUGAAUCAUCGAAUCUUUGAACGCAAAUGGCGCUCUUGGGCAUUCCCAGGAGCACGUCUGUCUGAGCGUCGUUUCUCACAUCCCAUCUCCACGAGAUGGGGCCAUGAGGUGUCCCUUUGCUGCAAAGCGAACGGUCCCUUGAAGUAGAGCGAUCCCGAGUCGUGCGGAAGCCCCUCGUGGCCCGUGCCUCUCGGUGUGGUAGAAAUAUCUCACCGAAGGACCGAGCUUCGCAGGGUGUCUGAAACCUUCUCUUCUGGGACGAUUGGAAAGGGUUCGACUUUCUUUCGAGAGAGUCGUUCGACCAACCAAGACCUCAGAUCAGGCGAGACUACCCGCUGAACUUAAGCAUAUCAAUAAGCGGAGGA
rnacentral:rRNA from 1 species